GACGAACGCUGGCGGCGUGCCUAAUACAUGCAAGUCGAACGCAGUUGCGAACGGGUGAGUAACGCGUAGGUAACUGCCUCAUUGCGGGGGAUAACUAUUGGAAACGAUAGCUAAUACCGCAUACUGUGAUAUGCACCUGCGUUGUAUUAGCUAGUUGGUGAGGUAAAGGCUCACCAAGGCGACGAUACAUAGCCGACCUGAGAGGGUGGUCGGCCACACAGGGAAUGGGACACGGCCCAGACGCCUACGAGAGGCAGCAGUUGGGAAACUUCGGUAAUGGGCGGAAGUGGGACCCGGCAACGGCGCGUGAGUGAAGAAGGGUUUCGGGACGUAAAGCUCUGUUGUUAGAGAAGCGGGAACUAACCAGAAAGGGACGGCUAACUACGUGCCAGCAGCCGCGGUAAUUC
rnacentral:rRNA from 1 species